rnacentral:rRNA from 1 species
UAGGGAAUAUUAGUAAUGGGCGAAAGCCUGAACUAGCAACGCCGCGUGUGCGAAGAAGGCCUUCGGGUUGUAAAGCACUUUUUGAGAGGAUGAGGAAGGACGGUACUCUCAGAAUAAGUCUCGGCUAACUACGUGCCAGCAGCCGCGGUAACACGUAGGAGGCGAACGUUAUCCGGAUUUACUGGGCGUAAAGCGCGUGUAGGUGGUUUGGUAAGUAGGGCGUGAAAGCUCCUGGCUCGACUGGGAGAGGCCGUUCUAAACUGCCGAACUAGAGGAUGGUAGAGGGAGGUGGAAUUCCGGGUGUAGCGGUGGAACGCGCAGAUAUCCGGAGGAACACCAGUGGCGAAAGCGGCCUCCUGGACCACUCCUGACACUCAGACGCGAAAGCUAGGGUAGCAAACGG